UUUUUUAUUAUAAAUUUUGUUGAUUUUUUUAAGGUAUUAUGCUUUAUUUUUGCAGUCUUCAAAAUUGGGUGGUUGACUCUUGGUUUGAAAAACAAACAAAAAAAAUCCUCUAUUAUACACUCUGUACUCAACAUGGGGAGGUGGGAAUAAAAUAUAAUUUUUAAAAGAAAUAAGUUACAAAAUUCAAAGGACCAGCCUAAUAACAGAAUGGACUCAGAUAUGUGAACUCCAGGUACAGAGUGUGUUUGAGGGAAUCUAGACUAUGCAGUAAAAGCACAGGGUGAGGGAGUUUCUGCUUUCAUCAGUGGGGGGACAGUAAAUCUUCUCAGCCUCCUUGAAAACACCUGGAGAGGCCAUGAGUUAAAAAUUUGGGAAACGCAGAAGGACUAAUCAAGAUCCAUGGAAGAUGGGGAAGAGGGGCUGAGCAAGUGGAGCUGGCCUUGACCCAGGAACGAGGGGCAAGGGUGCAGCUGCCUGCAGGCUAACUAGGAGCUGACCCUCAAGGCUGGGAGCAGGUCAGCCCAUAGAGACCGUCCUGGCUGUGUGGCCCCGGGGUGCCCAGACACUCUCCAGCCCUCACACGGCACCCUUGUCCUCCCGGGGGCUGCGGGACACAGCUCAUUGCUCCUGUGUGGCCCUGGUCACUCUGUGCACACGAGAAGAGUGGAGAAAUGGCCUUUCACCCAGAAGGUGUGCCAGUCACUGGCUCAGCAGGCAGGCAGCUUCGUGCAGCCCAGGUGCAGACCGAGGAGGGAGGGCUGUCCGCAGGGACCCAUGAGGAAAGACAUGCCGUCGGCCAUGGCAGGUGGGGACUCGUGCCCAGAAAGCACGUGUGGCCGUGAGGGGCACCGGCACGCAUCUGGACUCGGAGGUCAACCUUGGACAGACAGAAAUCAUGACUCACUUCUCACUGUGCAAACCCCGCAGCAAGGAGGGCCUCACAGCUGCUCUGGUAGGGGAUCCGAUCUGUGAUGGCGGCAGACACUUUGUUGAGAUGAUUGUGUGGUUUUGUAAAUUAAUUAUUUAAUUGUGGCUGCACUGGGUCUUUGUCGCUGCUCGAGGGCUUUCUCUGAUUGCAGUGAGUGAGGGUCACUCUUUCUUGUGGGGCACAGGCUUCUUACUGGGUGGUUUCUUUUGCUAUGGAGCAUGGGCUGUAGGGUGUGCAAGCUUUCUGUAGUUGUGGUGCGUGGCCUUCUCGUCGUGGUGGCUUCUCUUGCUGAGGGGCACGGGCUCUGAGAUGUGGGACUUCAGUAACUGCGGCCCAUGGGCUCUAGGGCACAGGCUCAGUAGUGGUGAUGUGUGGGCUUUAGCGGCCCACGACAUGUGGGGUCUUCCUGGACCUGGGAUGGAACUUGUGUCCCCUGCAUUGGCAGGCGGAUUCCUACCCACUGGAGUACCAGGCAAGUCCGUGAUGACUGUGUUUUGAAUUGACUGUUUCACCCGCUGUAAAAACCAGGAGUUGGGGGGCGGACAGUGAGAGGUGAGUAUGGGAGGGUUCCCACCGGGGCCCUCCUGCCCUUUGUCUUUUCACUGUGGGGACUCACCAUGCAGGUGAUUCCUCUUGGCCCUGGAUGUGCUGGUCUGGGGAACAGGGUGACAGAGGGGAAACACCUUCCCUCUGUGGCCAUCAGUUUUUGUGCUCCCCUGGGCUGUUGCAGUUUCUUAAUUGAACAGUGGAAACAGUGACAGACUUUAUUUUCUUGGGCUCCAAAAUCACUGCAGAUGGUGACUGCAGCCAUGAAAUUAAAAGACGCUUAUUCCUUGGAAGAAAAGUUAUGACCAACCUAGACAGCAUAUUAAAAAACAGAGACAUUACUUUGCCAACAAAGGUCUGUCUAGUCAAAGCUAUGGUUUUUCCAGUAGUUAUGUAUGGAUGUGAGAGUUGGACUAUAAAGAAAGCUGAGUGCUGAAUAAUUGAUGCUUUUAAACUGUGGUGUUGGAGAAGACUCUUGAGAGUCCCUUGGACAGCAAGGAGAUCCAACCAGUCCAUCUUAAAGGAAAUCAGUCCUGAAUAUUCAUUGGAAGGACUGAUGCUGAAGCUCUAAUACUUUGGUCACCUGAUGCAAAGAACUGACUCACUAGAAAAGACCCUGAUGCUGGGAAAGAUUGAAGGCAGGAGGAGAAGGGGACGACAGAGGAUGAAUAGUUGGAUGGCAUCACCGACUCAAUGAACAUGAAUUUGAGUAAACUCUGGGAAUUGGUGAUGGACAAGGAGGCCUGGUGUGCUGCAGUCCAUGGGGUCACAAAGAGUCGGACAUGACUGAGCAACUGAACUGAAUUGAACUCUAGAGCUCUUCCAAGGAUGUUAUCACCUUGGGUAGUUGUUUUAGUUGUUGUUUCUGUGGAAGGACACAGGCUGAGACCACCUCGUCCUCAUCUUGCUAACGUCACCUGCAUCUCUACUCUUCGUAGAGUGGGGGAGUGGGGGAGCCCCACUCCACGGGUGCCAGGUGAGCUACGUGGUGGUGGAGGGUCAGGCUGGUAACCUAAAUACACUACCAGAUUUUUCUUUCCGGGCCCCAGCCCCUCACAAGGUUAGAAAUGUGUUUCUACCAUUUCUGUGUUUCCUGAGCCAACUCACCACUCUGUGGGUUUGUCGCUGACUAAACAAUACCAAUGGCCGAUGAAUCUCUAAAGUUCUACUCAUGAAAUUACCACUCCUAAAACCAUGUGGGACUCAGGUCACUGUGUUUUCAAUAAGGUAUUUUAUUCCCCAGGCAAAGUAUGUCUUUGCCUGUUGCCUGGAAUGUGUAGCUUAUGUUCUCUUACUCCAUGGAUUUAAGAGAGCUUUUCCAGCCUUCAAGACACAUUGGAAAAUCCAAAGGGCUUAAUACUCUUUCUGCUCUAAGUUGUAGCAGGAAAUAAGCAAAGCAAACACUGUUCUCUUAGCUGGAAUAACUUGAAACUGCACUGGUAACUUUUCAUAUACACGUGUAAUCCCCUGAAAACCCUAGCAAGAAGGAAAUGUGUGAGAGUGUUUAGAGCCCUGGGUCUUCGUUUCUCCUCAUCCUGUCUGAUGCAGACUGCUCCCUCCCCACUCUGGUCCCCACAGUGUGCCCCUCCACCUUCACACACAGGAAGGCAGGGCAGGGUAAUGGUACACCACCUGCAGGAGGAGAGCCUCCUGGCUGGGCUUCCGGUCUUCCCAUCAAACCGGAGGCUUCUUUAUGCAGCUCUCCCGGGGGCUGACUCAGACCAGCUUUCCGCUUUCAGACUGCUGACCCCAUGAACCCUGAGCGAUUCCAUCAAAUUAUACAUGCACCAGCCCCUACGGCUAAAUGUAAUAGCAGCUUGAUUUGCACCACAGCUAUGUAGUCACCUUACCAGAGUACUUACAGGGCUCCAGUCUGCAUGCCCAAGACUACACUGGCA
ensembl:lincRNA